CUCAACCCCGGAAUUGCAGAGGAUACUGGCAGGCUAGAGAACGGUAGAGGUCAACGGAAUUCCCGGUGUAGCGGUGGAAUGCGUAGAUAUCGGGAAGAACACCAGUGGCGAAGGCGGUUGACUGGGCCGUUUCUGACGCUCAUGCACGAAAGCGUGGGGAGCAAACAGGAUUAGAUACCCUGGUAGUCCACGCCGUAAACGAUGGGCACUAGAUGCCGGGCGUAUAGACGCGUUCGGUGUCGGAGCUAACGCAUUAAGUGCCCCGCCUGGGGAGUACGGCCGCAAGGCUGAAACUCAAAGGAAUUGACGGGGGCCCGCACAAGCGGUGGAGCAUGUGGUUUAAUUCGAANCAACGCGAAGAACCUUANCUGGGCUUGACAUAUAUGUGAAAGCCCCUGGAAACAGGGGCCCUCCUUCGGGACAC
rnacentral:rRNA from 1 species